rnacentral:misc_RNA from 1 species
GAUGAAGAACGCAGCGAAAUGCGAUAAGUGAUGUGAAUUGCAGAAUUCAGUGAAUCAUCGAAUCUUUGAACGCACAUUGCGCCCGCCAGUAUUCUGGCGGGCAUGCCUGUCUGAGCGUCAUUUCAACCCUCAUGCCCCUAGGGCGUGGUGUUGGGGAUCGGCCAAAGCCCGCGAGGGACGGCCGGCCCCUAAAUCUAGUGGCGGACCCGUCGUGGCCUCCUCUGCGAAGUAGUGAUAUUCCGCAUCGGAGAGCGAUGAGCCCCUGCCGUUAAACCCCCAACUUUCCAAGGUUGACCUCAGAUCAGGUAGGAAUACCCGCUGAACUUAAGCAUAUCAAUAAGCGGAGGA